GUGACGUCAUUAACCGUUACUUUGAUUUGUUUUUGCCUUGGGCGGAAGUGCUUAAAAUUGUUGAUGUAUUUUGUUUAUUGAUGUUUCCCAAUGGAAAGUAGAUCAUAAUCGAUGAAGCUGGGCAUGGAAAGUUUCGUUGUUUGGUUUUUCAUUAACAUUGCUAUCAUAAGUGUGCAUGGUGCGGCGCAUUCCUCCACGACAUGUAUUCACGCAUGUGGAAACACAGUUUCAACUAACUUGCGACAGACGUGUCGCGAAUGCUCUGCCAACCCACCCAUUGGCUACGACAUGUGCACUAACGCGUGCGGCAAUACCUUUUCAAGCUACCUCAAGCAGAUAUGUGAUAACUGUGUAACAAGCGUAUCUUUGACUGACAGAAUGUGUAUAAAAGCUUGUGGCAACACGUUUACUAGUCAAUAUCGGCAUAUAUGCAACCGAUGUGUUCAGACUCCACCAAUAACGGACACCCUGUGUAUACAUGCGUGUGCGAACACAGUUUCAUCAAACCUAAGAGCAGUAUGUCGGAAAUGUGUUUUAAGACCGUCAUUUACUGAUGAAAUGUGCAUACAUGCAUGUGACAAUACAUUUUCCUCGAACUUUAGAAAGAUAUGCAAUGCUUGUAGUUAAACAGUUAUUUCUUGAGUUGUUAUUAUUUUUACUUUCUUAAAAUCUAAGUACAUUUUUCUCAAGGUUGAUUUUCUUGAACUAGUUUGGAGGCAAGCAGCUUUAACAUAUUUAAUCAGCAGUUAGGAUGCGUUAACAAUACAAAAUAAUGGCAUAUUGAACAAAGUUAGUCUAUUAUUUAGCAUAAAGAUAUUUUGAUAAAAAAUUUGUGUUGAAUUAAAGUCUUGAGUUCAA